UAAAGAGGGCGCAAACGUUGUUCGGAAUUACUGGGCGUAAAGAGCGUGUAGGCGGUUGGCUAAGUCGACUGUGAAAGACCAUGGCUCAACCAUGGAAGCGCAUUCGAUACUGGCUAACUGGAGUCCCGGAGAGGGUGGUGGAAUUCUCAGUGUAGAGGUGAAAUUCGUAGAUAUUGAGAGGAACACCGGUGGCGAAGGCGACCACCUGGACGGGUACUGACGCUGAGACGCGAAAGCGUGGGGAUCAAACAGG
rnacentral:rRNA from 1 species